GCAGGAAUGAAUUUGGGAGUAUUUAUUCUUUGGUGAUUCACUGACCAAAUGACUGUAACAGAUUCCUGCCUCCCAGAGGUGAGGCAUUACAUUUGUCUUCAGCCCUUUGUGGAUGUGAAACCAUUGGUCACCCUAUGACUGGACAUCGACUUAACUACAUACCAAUAUAUAUAUGUAUAUAUAUCGUUUUUGGAAAGCGGACGUUAAACGAUGAUGAUGAUAUAAUACAUUAAAAGUCAGCUUGAAUCUUGCUUGCUUG